rnacentral:rRNA from 1 species
AUUGAACGCUGGCGGCAGGCCUAACACAUGCAAGUCGAGCGGAUGAAGGGAGCUUGCUCCUGGAUUCAGCGGCGGACGGGUGAGUAAUGCCUAGGAAUCUGCCUGGUAGUGGGGGAUAACGUCCGGAAACGGGCGCUAAUACCGCAUACGUCCUGAGGGAGAAAGUGGGGGAUCUUCGGACCUCACGCUAUCAGAUGAGCCUAGGUCGGAUUAGCUAGUUGGUGGGGUAAAGGCCUACCAAGGCGACGAUCCGUAACUGGUCUGAGAGGAUGAUCAGUCACACUGGAACUGAGACACGGUCCAGGCUCCUACGGGAGGGAGCAGUGGGGAAUAUUGGGCAAUGGGCGAAAGCCUGAUCCAGCCAUGCCGCGUGUGUGAAGAAGGUCUUCGGAUUGUAAAGCACUUUAAGUUGGGAGGAAGGGCAGUAAGUUAAUACCUUGCUGUUUUGACGUUACCAACAGAAUAAGCACCGGCUAACUUCGUG